GCACUGCUGAAGAGUCAGUUCCAGGCUAGGACGAAACAGCUGUCCAGUAC
rnacentral:hammerhead_ribozyme from 1 species